CUUGCAGAUGGAACGGCGAAGGACUACAGUGAGACUAUAGUUAAUUUCCUUGAUGAUUUUGUCAAUGACAUCACAUCAAAGUAAUAUACACAAGAAAAAGGUAAAAUUGGGAAAAUUUUUUGAGAUGUCAUAAGUUUUUAACGUAAAUUUCUUACGAUUGCUAAAUUCUAUUGCUAAAAGUAUUAAGUGUAGAUAGCGAUCCUAUAUUAACAGUGGCGUGAAACAUUUGGUUCGUGGAUGGUG
rnacentral:lncRNA from 1 species